UGCACACAAAAACCCAAAGAAUGUUGUUCCUCGUAAUGACGUUCUUGUCGUGUGUGCAGAUAUUAUAUGUAUCUUGUCGCCUUUCCAGAGCUGAGGUGCUCUUGAAAGUGAAACUUGAGGUUCUACAUGAACAUAA
rnacentral:snoRNA from 1 species